CCUACGGGUGGCAGCAGUGAGGAAUAUUGGUCAAUGGGCGCGAGCCUGAACCAGCCAAGCAGCGUGAAGGAAGACUGCUCUACGGGUUGUAAACUUCUUUUGUACAGGAAUAAAGUGAGGUACGUGUGCCUUUCUGUAUGUAUCUUACGAAUAAGGAUCGGCUAACUCCGUGCCAGCAGCCGCGGUAAUACGGAGGAUUCGAGCGUUAUCCGGAUUUAUUGGGUUUAAAGGGUGCGUAGACGGGUUGAUAAGUCAGUUGUGAAAGUUUGAGGCUCAACCUUAGAAUUGCAUUUGAUACUGGCAGCCUUGAGUACAGUUGAGGUAGGCGGAAUUCGUGGUGUAGCGGUGAAAUGCUUAGAUAUCAUGAAGAACACCGAUUGCGAAGGCAGCCUACUAAGCUACCACUGACGUUGAUGCUCGAAAGUGUGGGUAUCAAACAGGAUUAGAUACCCUUGUAGUC
rnacentral:rRNA from 1 species